rnacentral:rRNA from 1 species
GACGAACGCUGGCGGCGUGCCUAAUACAUGCAAGUCGAACGCAGUGGGGACGGGUGAGUAACACGUUGGUAACCUCCCAUCAGAGGGGAUAACACUUGGAAACAGGUGCUAAACCGAUACUGAUGGAUGGACCCGCGGUGCAUUAGCUAGUUGGUGAGGUAACGGAUCACCACGGCGACGAUGCAUAGCUGACCUGAGAGUGUGAGCGGCCACACUGGGACGGAGACACGGCCCAGACUCCUACGGGAGGCAGCAGUAGGGAAUAGUGGGCAAUGGACGAAAGUCUGACCUAGCAACGCCGCGUGAGUGAAGAAGGUUUUCGGAUCGUAAAACGCUGUGGGUAGAGAAGCGGUAUCUAACCAGAAAGCAACGGCUAACUACGUGCCAGCAGCCGCGGUAAUAC